rnacentral:rRNA from 1 species
ACGCGAAGAACCUUACCAAGGCUUGACAUACACCGGAAAAGUGCAGAGAUGUGCUCCCCGUAAGGUCGGUGUACAGGUGGUGCAUGGUUGUCGUCAGCUCGUGUCGUGAGAUGUUGGGUUAAGUCCCGCAACGAGCGCAACCCUCGUCCCAUGUUGCCAGCGGGUUAUGCCGGGGACUCAUGGGAGACUGCCGGGGUCAACUCGGAGGAAGGUGGGGAUGACGUCAAAUCAUCAUGCCCCUCAUGUCUUGGGCUUCACGCAUGCUACAAUGGCCGGUACAAAGGGCUGCGAUACCGCGAGGUGGAGCGAAUCCCAAAAAGCCGGUCUCAGUUCGGAUUGGGGUCUGCAACUCGACCCCAUGAAGUCGGAGUCGCUAGUAAUCGCAGAUCAGCAACGCUGCGGUGAAUACGUUCCCGGGCCUUGUACACACCGAAGGGC